rnacentral:rRNA from 1 species
GACGAACGCUGGCGGCGCGCCUAACACAUGCAAGUCGAACGGAGCUGAGAGAAGCUUGCUUUUCUUAGCUUAGUGGCGAACGGGUGAGUAACGCGUGAGUAACCUGCCCUGGAGUGGGGGACAACAGAUGGAAACGACUGCUAAUACCGCAUAAGCCCACGAUCCGGCAUCGGAUUGAGGGAAAAGGAUUUAUUCGCUUCAGGAUGGACUCGCGUCCAAUUAGCUAGUUGGUGAGGUAACGGCCCACCAAGGCGACGAUUGGUAGCCGGACUGAGAGGUUGAACGGCCACAUUGGGACUGAGACACGGCCCAGACUCCUACGGGAGGCAGCAGUGGGGGAUAUUGCACAAUGGGGGAAACCCUGAUGCAGCGACGCCGCGUGGAGGAAGAAGGUUUUCGGAUUGUAAACUCCUGUCGUGAGGGACGAUAAUGACGGUACCUAACAAGAAAGCACCGGCUAACUACGUG